UACGGGGGGGCAAGCGUUGUUCGGAAUUACUGGGCGUAAAGGGCUCGUAGGCGGCCAACUAAGUCAGACGUGAAAUCCCUCGGCUUAACCGGGGAACUGCGUCUGAUACUGGAUGGCUUGAGUUCGGGAGAGGGAUGCGGAAUUCCAGGUGUAGCGGUGAAAUGCGUAGAUGUCUGGAGGAACACCGGUGGCGAAGGCGGCAGUCCUGGACCGACACUGACGCUGAGGAGCGAAAGCCAGGGGA
rnacentral:rRNA from 1 species